rnacentral:rRNA from 1 species
UACGGAGGGGGCUAGCGUUGUUCGGAAUUACUGGGCGUAAAGCGCACGUAGGCGGCUUUGUAAGUUAGAGGUGAAAGCCCGGAGCUCAACUCCGGAAUUGCCUUUAAGACUGCAUCGCUAGAAUUGUGGAGAGGUGAGUGGAAUUCCGAGUGUAGAGGUGAAAUUCGUAGAUAUUGGGAAGAACACCGGUGGCGAAGGCGGCUAUCUGGCCCGUAAUUGACGCUGAGGCGCGAAAGCGUGGGGAGCAAACAGG